AGUUACACUCCCAAACCCCUGUGAACAUACCACUUGUUGCCUCGGCGGAUCAGCCCGCUCCCGGUAAAACGGGACGGCCCGCCAGAGGACCCCUAAACUCUGUUUCUAUAUGUAACUUCUGAGUAAAACCAUAAAUAAAUCAAAACUUUCAACAACGGAUCUCUUGGUUCUGGCAUCGAUGAAGAACGCAGCAAAAUGCGAUAAGUAAUGUGAAUUGCAGAAUUCAGUGAAUCAUCGAAUCUUUGAACGCACAUUGCGCCCGCCAGUAUUCUGGCGGGCAUGCCUGUUCGAGCGUCAUUUCAACCCUCAAGCACAGCUUGGUGUUGGGACUCGCGUUAAUUCGCGUUCCUCAAAUUGAUUGGCGGUCACGUCGAGCUUCCAUAGCGUAGUAGUAAAACCCUCGUUACUGGUAAUCGUCGCGGCCACGCCGUUAAACCCCAACUUCUGAAUGUUGACCUCGGAUCAGGUAGGAAUACCCGCUGAACUUAAGCAUAUCAAUAAGCGGAGGAA
rnacentral:rRNA from 1 species